rnacentral:ncRNA from 2 species
GAGAUAAAAUUAGCGCCAUGUACCUCUAUUGGACGGGAAAUUUAGAGGUUAACGAGGUAGGGAGUUAGCGAAUCUUCGGCGGAUGCUCUCUCGUACAGUUUGAGUGCGUAAGGUGCUGAAAAAAUGGCAGGUAACUGCAGCACAACAGCAGUACUAUCAAACAA